rnacentral:lncRNA from 1 species
UUGUUUACAUAAAUUUGACACAAAGGAGUACAAAUGUCUAGAAAUUUUGAGGAUUGCUGUGAAAUCAGGAAAUGUGUUUUAUCCUUUUUUUUCUUUUUUCCUUUAAACUAGAGUCACAUUGCAAAUUUAAAACCAGGGGAUUUGGGGCCUCUUUCUUUAAGACAAUAUCUUGUUUUACCAGUCUCUUGUUUCUGUCUUUUAAGUCUUCCUCUGAUCCUCCAUUGCAUUUGAACAUUUAGUGUAUAAUUUUUUUUUUUAGUUGGAAACAUUUCUUUAUUUUAUAUUUAUGUGAUGCUGAGGAUCGAACUCAGUGCCUCACACAUUCUAGGCAAGCGCUCUACCUCUAAGCCACAAUCCCAGCCCUAAAUUUUUUUUUAAACUUUUUUAGGUACCAGGGGAUUGAACUCAGGGGCACUCAACCACUGAGCCCCAUCCCCAGCCCAUUUUGUAUUUUAUUUAGAGCCAGGUUCUCAUGAGCCACUGGGAUUACAGAUAUGUGCCUUAAGUAUAUGAAUUUUAAUGUUUUCAAGGGAAAUGUUCUUUGUUGGAGAAUAAUUACAGAAUUAAUGUUGGACAGAAUGGAGGAACAGUCAAGGACCCAAGUUGUGAUAUAUCUGUUUUCAGCUUUGGCUAUUAAUGGAUCUCUAGCCAACUAGACAUAGCAGCCCCAAACUUUCUUUAUAAGUACAUUUUCAGAUUAUGGCCAUGGGAAGAUAAGAAGUGAGGACCUAUUUUUAAGUGGAACAUCUUGGUGGUCAUUAGCAUUCAAUUUCAGAAAGCUAUGUUCUGGACAUGUACUAAGGAAUCUGUGAGAAUCAGACUGGAGAUUUUUUUUAAUUUUUCAAAAACAAAAUCUUUGAACACACACACACACACACACACACAGACUCUCUCUCAUUUGCCCCAAAUCACCCAAAGUAACAAAAUGUCAUAAGUCAGGUUUUUCAACAUACGUUUUUCACUGUUCUCAUAAUUAUCUCAUAAUUUGGAUAAUGCUUUUGCUAAAAUUACACCUUCUAAAGAAAGGCUUAUGUUUUAAAUCUGAUAACUUUUGAGGUAGAAUGCUGGGAACUAGAGAAAAUUGCAAAGGCAUUUGGAAUUUAUAUUAUCUUCUUAGAUUGCAUUUGUCAAGCCUUGGCAGCAUUUCUUUUAAAUGUGAUGACCCCCAAUUUGCCAAACUGUCAGGAGUCAGUGAAGCAAGGAAUUGAAGGUAAAAUGUUGAUUCAAAGAUUGUCUCCCCUAAAUCCCUCAUCCCUGCUUCAAAAUGGAACUUUGGAAGGCAUUUAUAAAGAAGAUUGGUCUGACAGCCUUUAUAUUUGCAUUUUUUACUUGCAUCCCUAGACUUGGUUUUAUGGUAAAAGAAAUUUUUCAUUUCUAUUACAUUAUAAUUCAUCUGUCUGAUUUCAUUGGCAGAUUAAGAUGGUACUGGUCCCUCAGGAUGCUUUUUUUCCUUAAUAAAACAUCAUAUGUAAAUAAGAACAACUCAGUAAUUUAGGACACUUCCCCCCCUGCCCCCCAUAAAUGAAGAUUUGUUAAACAUAGAUGUUUCUUUACCUCAUGUACUAAGAAUUAAACUGUAUUAUAUGGUACAUUUUACCCUAAAACUCAUGCCUAUGUUUUUUGAACAGAUUUUUUUUUAUUCAGUAUGC